GUGAAUCUUCUCCCCCCCACCCCCGAAGGAUGUAGAAAGAAAUCCACAGGGCGAUUCGUGGGAAGGAAAAACAAGCCGUGGGAGGAAGCGGAACGAGGGCCAGUGGCGGACGAAGAGAGGACAGCAGUGAGCUGAGCAGAGUCAAUCUCGGAUUUUCAAAAUUGACUGAGUGAAUCACUCAAAAAGAACAGCAGGAUUGUGUUGACGCUAAGUGCGCCAUGCUUGCGGUUUGCAGGAUGAUGUGGGCUACAGAGCAAACGGGUCAACUUUCAACAUCAAGUCCUCCCUGGAACUGAGCACCGUGGUAUUGAGGAUUCAAAAUGAAACUCUUCUUUAAGGCAGUGGGAGGGGAAGGGGGCAGAUGGGAAAAGUAAAUUAAAAUAUCAGAUUACAGCAUACGCUGUAUUGUAAGACGGAACAAACUGUUCGGAGGAAACUCAUUAGGUCAUGUCAAUCCUCACUCUUUAAACUAAUUUGCCAACUAGUAGCCACAAAAAAACGAACACAAUUCAAAGAUCGGUUCUCCAAAACAAAAACAGAAAGUCAUCACUCCAAAAUGCACGUUUGCAUGCAAGCACUCUCACCCCACCCCCUCCUCAGGAAGUCCAUUCAAAUUAGAUUUUGAAACAUUAUUUUCCCAAACAACUGUCAAUGACAUUACCUGACAGGAGAGUCAUAUCCCUCUGGACCAUGCCGAAAGGAAGCGUCACCCUCCCGGAGAGAUUACCGCUUCAUACUUCCAACACAGGCAGCGUAAACAAUGUGCCGAGAGGAAACGUGAUUAAAAAAAAAAAAAAAAGGUGCACAGCUGUGUUGCAGAAAAG